rnacentral:rRNA from 1 species
GAUGAACGCUGGCGGCGUGCUUAAUACAUGCAAGUCGAACGGAGACAUUAUAGCAAUAUGAUGUCUUAGUGGCGAACGGGUGAGUAACGCGUUGGUGACCUGCCCCGAAGUGGGGGAUAACAGCUCGAAAGGGCUGCUAAUACCCCAUGUGGUCGCGUGAGUUAGAGGUCUUGUGACUAAAGGCGUAAUCCGCUUCGGGAGGGGCCUGCGUCCCAUCAGCUAGUUGGUAGGGUAAUGGCCUACCAAGGCGACGACGGGUAGGGGACCUGAGAGGGUGGCCCCCCACACUGGCACUGAAACACGGGCCAGACACCUACGGGUGGCAGCAGUAGGGAAUAUUGCACAAUGGGCGAAAGCCUGAUGCAGCAACGCCGCGUGCACGAUGAAGGCCUUCGGGUCGUAAAGUGCUUUUCGGGGAGAUGAGGAAGGACAGUAUCCCCGGAAUAAGGAUCGGCUAACUACGUGCCAGCCGCCGCCGUAACAC